UACGUAGGGUGCAAGCGUUAAUCGGAAUUACUGGGCGUAAAGCGUGCGCAGGCGGCUAUGCAAGACAGAUGUGAAAUCCCCGGGCUCAACCUGGGAACUGCAUUUGUGACUGCAUGGCUAGAGUACGGUAGAGGGGGAUGGAAUUCCGCGUGUAGCAGUGAAAUGCGUAGAUAUGCGGAGGAACACCGAUGGCGAAGGCCAUCCCCUGGACCUGUACUGACGCUCAUGCACGAAAGCGUGGGGAGCAAACAGG
rnacentral:rRNA from 1 species